rnacentral:rRNA from 1 species
GACGAACGCUGGCGGCGUGCUUAACACAUGCAAGUCGAACGGAAAGGCCUCUUUCGGGGGGUACUCGAGUGGCGAACGGGUGAGUAACACGUGAGUAACCUGCCCUUGACUUUGGGAUAACUUCAGGAAACUGGGGCUAAUACCGGCUAGGAGCUCCUGCUGCAUGGUGGGGGUUGGAAAGUUUCGGCGGUUGGGGAUGGACUCGCGGCGUAUCAGCUUGUUGGUGGGGUAGUGGCUUACCAAGGCUUUGACGGGUAGCCGGCCUGAGAGGGUGACCGGCCACAUUGGGACUGAGAUACGGCCCAGACUCCUACGGGAGGCAGCAGUGGGGAAUAUUGCACAAUGGGUGGAAGCCUGAUGCAGCAGCGCCGUGUGCGGGAUGACGGCCUUCGGGUUGUAAACCGCUUUCGCUCAUGACGAAGCUUUGUGUGACGGUAGUGGGUAAAGAAGCACCGGCUAACUACGUG